UCAUGCUCCAGAGAGGCCUGAAGUGUAGGGUAAUAUUAGGCAGAGGGAGAGAACAAAAUGGCAGAGCAAAUGAAUGACCAAACGAAGAAAGUUUGGACAUAGUUAUGGGAGGGUACAAGGAAUUUUACCUCAGAAUGUGUGAGGAAAAUGUUAUUUGCUACACACACAUACACACGCCCCCUUUCAGGGAAUUUUCAGUCACAAUAAAUUCCCUCAGCCUUCCUGAGGAAAACAAUGACAUUGGCUGCCAACAGAAUUCCCCAAGUGGUUGCCGGAAAUAGUGGGAGUAAUGCUGGUGCUCACCCAUGUGAUUCAUUGAUUUAGUUUUUUCAGACCCCAUAUUUUCAUAACAUUUAUUGUGUGUUUGAUUGCUCAUAUAAAACUUUAAUGCUUAUGGGCCCACUUAUAGGGAAGGUAUUUUCCUGUGUGAGAGUGAGGCGGAGAUUGUGCUCACGAGGGUGGGGCUUCUAUUGGCCGGGGGAUGGUGGAGGAGCCUGUAUCCACCAUCCACCACUUACAUGCAACAUGUACCUAAAGGCUGGGAGGAGGGUGAAGGAAUGUGAAGGAAGGAAUGUGAGGAAACAACCUACUUCCGUUCCAUGAUCUUCCGGAAUUCUAUCCUGGAGAGGACCCCGCGGGAUUGGGCCUGGAUGCGGGUGAUGAUGCGAGAGAGGCGCUCGUCCCUCAUCUCCUCCAACAUCCCCAGGAGACCCGCUUUGAAGAACACCUGGGUGGAAAGAGAGACUUUGAAAGAUAUUGGUGCCCCCUAGUGGCUGAAGCCAGAGCUAGUGACACACCAUCGCCCUCGCCCUGUGGGAGUGGCUCCCUCUGACUCCGCCUUCCUCUCACCUUGGUGUGCCCAAAUUUGUACUGGUUGUGGUCGAUAUCUAGAGAGCUCAGCAGCUUCUCUGCCCCUUUCCUGCUGUCGAUGAACUGACCCUCGGGGAUGGCGGCUGGGUUCAGGAUACGGUACCUGAGAAGAUGAAAGUGCAUGAUGGCUCCCGUCAACUUGUAUAUGGAGUUCUUCUCUUCCUGGGUGAAGCCCAAGACAUCAAAGGCACUCUGUGUAUGGAGAAAAGAAAGGGUGACCCCCAACUGCUUCUCCGCAGCCCAAGCGGCAACAGAGGCAGGAGUCUCUCCCAGCCCUACCUGGGAGUGAACCUGGGACCUUCUGCGUGGGAAACAGAUGCCCUUGCAACUGAACUCAAGGGGGAUGUCUUACAGCAGGCAGAGCUCACAGGUGGACAGAAAAACCCAAAGUUGUCAACAUCUGACUUUCAGGCUUAAGGUUUUCACAUUCGGGCACGCUGCAAUAUCUAGGGGAGAUUCCAUCUUUGGGAGACCCAGCGAACAUCCACAUUCACCAUCAAGAGAACACACUUGGAUGAAAAGAGAGAAGCUGGAAAUUCAAAUGUGAAACCUCUUUGCUCUUUUGAAGCAACACCCAUUUAUUCCCAGGAAGUAUCUGUAUGUGUUUGAAACUUUUCUGAUAAGGAAGAGAGAGAAGGAAAUUGUUUGGGCUAGAUGAGCUAAAAUAUUUGAAUGUUCUAACUCCUGGUACCACAACGGAAUUUGGAAGGGAAAUUCUCACUCAAAUUUGCAGAAUUAGCUGAAAAUGUGCACACUAGAUUCUCUGAAAAUACACGCACGCGCACACCACUACAAACAUGUCCCUCACAUAUUCAAUAUACUCACCAGAAUUACAUACAUUAGAUUUCAUGCAAAGAUGUGUCCUAACCUGGCAACUUACGGACAUCAGGCCAGAGGGAUCCACUUUGUCUUUUAGAAGAACCCUGAGACCCGAAGCCAAGGCAAACCAGCAGUGGGGAGGGCUGGAGAGGCACUUUGGAUUAAGGGCCAGGGUGCCUCUGAGCACACACUCAGCCUAGGAAUUUGCUCUCCGUUCCAGAACUGGGCUCACAAUUCUUUUGUGCAAAAACACACCCCUGGUUUUGAUCCAACUUUCUUUAUUUCAGCAGCCGAAUUUAGAAAGGAAGGGGGGGAGGGGAAACGCCUUUUGUUGACUAUUGUUAAAUAAUUGGGAGUCAAAAACCUUUGCUACAUCUGCUGCAAAUCACCCAGAGAUCUUCCAGAAGAUGGGCCAUAGCUCAGUGGAAAAUGCAGAAGGUCCCGGGUUCACUCCCUGGCAGCAGCAUCUCUGGGUAAGGCUGGGAAAGACUCCAGCUUGAAACCUAGGAGAAUCGCUGCCAGUCAGUGUAGACAACCCUGAGUGAAAUGGACCAAUGGUCUGACUCAGUGUAAAGCACUGUCCUAUAUUCCUGUCUCUGUCUACCUUCAGCUCGAUAAGGGAUACAUGAAAAUCUGACAAAUCCCAACAUGCAGAAUACACACACACACACACCAUGCUUGCAGAAAGACACCGCUACAAGCAUAUACAUGAAAUCUAUGAAGAGAUUUCACCCACUGGCUAGCUUACUUGUGUGUGGCUGAUGGCGGCCACCUUCUUUGCAAAAUGUACAGAAUCCAUCCUGUGCAUGCAUGGAUGCGCCAGACAUGCACGGAGGUACUAAUGCUUAGACUCCCAUAUAUGCCGCUCCAUACUGAAACACAUUCACCUCCCUCACGCUUGUAACAUCAUUUCUCUGCUGGGCUGGACACGCCACCACUCUUUCCGCACACCAUACAAUCGCAGAUAUAUGCCCUUAUACAUUAAUACGCAUUACAGAAGACACCUUAAGUACAAUGCUCCAGCCUGAUUUUGACACACACAGAAUCUCAGAUCUCAGCCAUAAGUGAUCAGGAAAUUCCCAGCCCCCAUUAAAAAAAACACAAACCCCAAACCACCCACAUUUACGAUUCACUCCAUCGCACCUCCCUACUCCAAGAUGCUGGCCUGGAUUUGGAGAGGAGCUGGGUGUUAGAACUGGGCCUUACCUGAGACCAGCACAGAUGGGAGGGUUCUAAGCAGGGUGCUUGGCCAGAACCCGUGUUAUAAACCCCCAAUCCCCCGCCCCCUCCCUCUGGCCGGCCUCAUAUGGACACACAGACCCAUUCCUUCCCCAGCCCCCAACCCUUGGUGUUCACCCCCUGGAACAAUUGGAAGCUCUCGUCAUUGUUGUGGUAUGAAGAAGAAUAAGAACAGGUUCAGGGAGAGGGGGGGUCAGGGAGGGGGGCACUGAAAUAUCUUGGAACAACAGGGCUGAGAUUCCAGGGGACGGGGUCUCAAGGGAGGAAAGGCAGACAGGGAAACAGGACACAUUUUAUGCAGGCUAGGAAUAUCUCUAUGCCCCUGAUUCUCCUUCCUACAGCCUUGCCCAAACCUCCUGGCCCCCACAAUCCCACAAGGACAAACUGGGACCAAUCCAGAGAAAGUUAACUGUUAUAUAAGUUUGAUGUGUUUUUCAGUCCCGUUCAUUUCAUCAGUGUAACUCAGAGUGUUGGGAUGCAGGCCUUCAGCGAUAACCAGGGCUACAUCAAGAGCCUCUCAUGAUUCAAGGGCUCUCUUCUUUGGGUUUUAAACCAGGGGUUCCCAACUUUGCACCCCCAGAAGUGGUCGGACUACAGCUCCCAUCAUCCCCAGCCUUUGGCCACUGUGACUGGGAACGAUGGGUGCUGUAGUCCAACAACUUCUGGGGAGCCCACAUUGGGAACCCCUGGUUUAAACUCACCUCUGAUUCUUUCCUUGAUCCAGUAUACAAAACCAGGAAACGAAGAGGCAAAUGCUGGGUUUUUCUUCUCAGGAUUCCCCUUCACGGCUAUCUUUUGCAGCGUCCUCCACUGAGACUCAUCCACACACUCUCCACUGUGUGAACAAAGAAGGAUUUUUCAGUUUGGAUUAAGAACCUCAGCCACGGAUGUGCAGACAAAUGAACUCGCCCUUUGGAAAGGCUGCAUCUUUUUCGGGUGCGAAUUCCAACAGGAGAUCUACUUGUUUGGGCCUGCUGCCCUGUCCGCAGAAUAUGCUAAUUUCAUUGUGAAGUUUGUUCAUUUCUCUCCCCAGCUCCUCCUUCCUUUGAAAAGCCCACAUUGGGGAAUGUUUAAAGAAAGAGAUGUGAUACAAGUACCUGUACUUUUUAAAAACUCAGCUGGGCUAAUAGCAGCUUUUGGGGAAGGUCUACCACUUUUAAUUGGGAAAAUGUCACAAGGAAAGGAAAUGUCACCAGGAAUAAGGGUUAAUGACUCUCCUUUAAGUAGUCUGCUUCUCUGAUCAAAACCAGAGCUUCAUCCCACUAAUAAAAACACCAGGGUGUUUUCCACACCCGGCUUUUAGUUUG